rnacentral:tRNA from 1 species
ACGGUAGUGACGAAAAAGGUAUACGUAAUAUGCUUAGGACAUAUUGAAAUUCAACAUUUCAUAAGGGUUCGAUUCCCUUCUGCCGUA